rnacentral:piRNA from 1 species
UCCUCUAACUUAGUCCAGCCCUUGGUC